GAAAGUGAGAGGUGGAGGCGGGUCUGUGCACAGAAAUGAAACCUAAAGUGGCUGUAGGGGCAGGAAAUGAAAGUGCGCCAGUGCAGCCUGUUCAGACAAACAGCAGACGGACAAACGCCUGGAAACACAGCGAGGACACACAGACUCUGGGCAGCCACAUGAGGACCAAGAUGAACAAGCUGCUGUUAGUUCCUGUGGUGCUGGGAAUCAUAUCAGCCCUGGGGGACACUACAACAACUCCUCCCACAACUACUACCACCUCUGAAUGGACAACAGGUCAUUCUGGGCUAAAUCUAAAUGGAAAGAUGUUCACUUUGUCUUUUAACGGAGGAGGAAUAUCCUUCUACCCGUCCCAUUACUCACCAAAAAAGCAACACCCCACCUCCACCCCCUACUGGACCACCACCAACCCCUACACGACCGCCUCACCGUAUACUCGAGGUGUGUCCGUGUGUGUGUGUUACAUCACCGACUGGUCUGUGCAAAGUUUCUCAUUCUUCACACUCAGUCCAUCCACAACUCCUCUCAGCCUGGGAGCCAGUUCCAGCAAUUCCUAUUGGCUGUCCUAUGGCAAAUACGGUUCUAUGACACAGUCUUUCCGCCCGAACAUAUGGUUCUUUACAGACCUUGGGUUGGACAUCUGGACCAGGGUCUGCGUCACUGUGGACUCCAUGAAGAACACGACCCAGAUGUUUGUGGGCCCAUACAUGAGCAUCAAGAAGCUGCUGCCCGGGAAGUAUGUGUGGUCAGGUGAGCCCAGUGAUUCAAUUUUCAGGUUUCGAUGGUCAGCUGACCAACAUCCAGGUGUGGGAUUAUCCUCUUCCCUACAAUGAAGUCUACAGCUACAUGGCCAGUGCUUAUACGCCGUACACGGGCUCAGUCCUCACGUGGUCCUCCAUCAGCUACUUUGCCAGAGGUAACGUGCUACUGGAUGACGUCUAUAGGUGGCAGGAAAAACAGCCAAUCAGCAGACAGGGGCAAAGACGCCGACUGAAGAACAAGAAGAAGCACAUGGAGGAAAAUAUAGAGAGCCAGAGACAGCAGCUUUAAUGAAACAUGCAGAGACAUGUAGGAAAAGCUGUGUCCUCUUCACAAUCAGCUUGAGAAACCAUCACCAAUCA
rnacentral:lncRNA from 1 species